UGGCAGCUUCUAAGAGAGUCUCUUAAAAGACAGUUGGCUCGGGCCUUUGUUCCUUUUAUUUUUCUUUUCCCCCUUUCUGCUGUUCAGAAUAGAAGCAAUGGCUAAAUCUGGAGUAAUUAUUUUGAACUAGGAAGGAACCUUAGAUAUGGAAGCCAAGUGUAGUGAAACAAGUCAAAUGAACCUGAGUUUCUGAAGACUUCAUUUCACUCACUCACCGUACCAGUCCACAAUUUAUUUGUUCCCCACUGAGAGAGUGGAAGGGAAGUUGGGAAGGAAAGAGAGAGAAAGAGAAACAUCCAUGUGAGAGAGACACAUUGAUUGGUUACUCACCGUACAUACUCCAACCUGGGCCGGGAUCAAACCUGCAACCCAGGCCUCCUUGGUUCUGAACUGUGUGUGGCCAGACACUUGGAAGAACACCUGUCAUUCAUGGGAUGCGCGAACCCAGGAGGGCUGUCUCUGUGUGCUCAGGCAGAUGUGACCUCCCUUAGCCUGCCCACAGGAGACUCGACCACCCUGCCUUUGUGCUGUGAGUGAAGACAUGGACACCAAUGAGCCCUGAGGGAGGUGUGAAGAGUAGUGAAGAGUCAGGCAGACUUGGAUUUUAAUUCUAUUUCCACCGUUAACAGCCUUAUAAAAACACAUUGAGCCCCAGUUUCUCCAUCUGUCCAAUGGAAAUUCUCUCAUAGUGUUAUUAUGAAAGUUUAAUGAAUUAAUGUAUGUAAAGUACUUAGCACACAGUAAGCACUUCAUAAAAUUUUAGUUAAUAUUAUAUAUAAUGAAUGUAGUUUUCAUUAAUAUUUAUGCAUUUGGCUUGAGACUUUUCUUCGAGGCCUAAGAUACAUUCUGUCCUACAAAGUACAUGACUAAGAGAAAAACAGGAAAUGUGACUUACUCCAGUCAUUAAACAUGCUUUUUUUUAAGUGUUGACUGCAUUGCCAAGUACUGUAUUAGGCCCCUCCCUCCAACCUUCCUGCCUUCAUCCUGUCACAAACAUUGAUUGUGUGUCUAUGAGGUGCUAGGCAUUGGGUUAGAUGUUAGGAAAAUAGCAAUGAGAUAGACAAAUAUGUUCCCUACCAUCACAGAGCUUAUGAUCCUGAGGGAAAGACCUAUAUUACAUGAGUAUAGCCAGGUGUAGAGCCAGGGAUAAGUUCUAGGUACAACAAUAGUGCUCGUGGCAUAUGGAGCAUCUUAUAAGAUCUGCAGGGUCAGCAAGACUAUGCUAUGAGUUUCCAUUUAUGAGAUCAGUUGUCAAUAGUGUAAGUGAUUUGGCUACAUUGGUCAGUGGUGUUUUCAUCAUAUUUCCCUAAAAAAGGCUGGCAUUUUGUAAUGAGAUAUCAAUCAAAUCCAUGAAUUUCCAACUCCAUAUUAAAUGGCUUUUUAUUGGAAGGUUUCUCAUAUAAUACCUAUUGAAAAGGGGAAUU